UGAAAUAUAAAAUAAAAAAUUAAAUAUUAAAAUUUCUAUAUAAACUUUUCUAUACUAGAUGUACACUUUUCUAUACUAGGCCUUACAUGCUACUUUCAUAGGGUAGAGAAAGCUUGUUCACUUUGCAGGAAAUAAUCAGAAUAUCUAUGACUGUGCUACGAUACAUAUGUAGUGCCUACUUGUAUAGGGUUGGCAAUGCUGUUGCAGCUAUAGCAUACAAUGGAACAGUGGUAGAGCUCACAGGUACAUCUGUAGUGGUAAUGGAAACACCCAUAUAGCUGCCACUUAGAAUAGGCAGGCUUUGCUUUUGCAGUAAUAGAAUAUAAUGGUACAGUUGUAGGGGUCACAUGUACAUCUCUAGUGUUAAUGGGCACACCCAUAUAGCAGUCACUUCUAUAGGGUAGGCUUUGCUUUUGCAGUUAUAGAAUAUGAUGGGAUGGGACAGUUGUAGAGCUCAGCCGAACAGCGGUACUGGUAAUGGGCACACCCAUAUAGCUGUCAAUUUCAUAGGGUUGGAAAAGUUUUGGCACAUAGCAGAAAAAAAUAUAGCUUAAAACAAGUGUGCCACGGUACAUGUGUAGUGCCCACUUUUCUAUACUAGAUGUACACUUUUCUAUACUAGGCCUUACAUGCUACUUUCAUAGGGUAGAGAAAGCUUGUCCACUUUGCAGGAAAAAAUCAGAAUAUCUAUGACUGUGCUACGAUACAUAUGUAGUGCCCACUUGUAUAGGGUUGGCAUUGCUGUUGCAGCUAUAGCAUACAAUGGAACAGUGGUAGAGCUCACAGGUA
rnacentral:lncRNA from 1 species